rnacentral:rRNA from 1 species
GACGUAGGGCGCGAGCGUUUGUCCGGAUUUAUUGGGCGUAAAGAGCGUGUAGGCGGUCCGGUAAGUCCGCUGUGAAAGUCGGGGGCUCAACCCUCGAAUGCCGGUGGAUACUGUCGGGCUAGAGUGCGGAAGAGGCGAGUGGAAUUCCUGGUGUAGCGGUGAAAUGCGCAGAUAUCAGGAGGAACACCGGUGGCGAAGGCGGAUCUCUGGGCCAUUACUGACGCUGAGGAGCGAAAGCGUGGGGAGCGAACAGG